CAGUGAAAUCCUGCUUGCGCAGGGUGAAAUUGCGCUGAUGCGCAGUGAAAUAUGGCUUCGCCAUGUGAAAUACGCC
rfam:Clostridium sp. CAG:226 genomic scaffold, scf285